rnacentral:lncRNA from 1 species
UUGCUUCUAUACUUUUAGUCCCUCUCAUCCCCUCCCUCAUUCUUCUAAUUUUUUUCUUAUUCAUUCAUUCUUUUUCCCCCUUGUGUCUUUUAUUUCUUCAUUUUUUCCUACGAUUUUGCUUCUAUUUUCCUAGACAUUAUAUUAUUAACUUGAUCACCAAAAAUCGUCUCUUUUUGUUGUCCAUUAUUGCUCCUUUCCUCCACUUGUGGUGGUGCCGGUUAGGUCUCAUUUCUCCUAUUUUCCUUUCCCUUUUGUGUCUAUUUUUGUUGCUAUUUUACUGUUGUUUUCCACCCUAAAAUCGUCCCUUCCGCUGUCCACAAAUCUCCUUUUCUGCCGCUCAAGCUAGCCUCAUUUGUUGUUGUAUGUGGUAGUGUUGUCGCCCUUUGAACAUCACCUUUGGUUGUUGAAAUUUUUUGCUUUUGUUGCCCUUUUAAGCACAAUUUCUCUUCAUUUUUCCACUAGUAAAAAAGCCUCUUACUUCGCUAAUUUGAGUGCAUUCAAGUUCGCUUAAAUCAUUAUCUCAGAUCUAAUAAUCGAUGAAAACGUAAGUGCAAAUUUAAACAAGAUAUUGUGUCGAUAUUAUUUUAUUGAUUUUGUUGUUCUUGGUAUAAUGUCUUAAGGCCCUAAAUUGAUUUUUGCUUUCUGAUUUUGUGUAUUAUUUCUAAUGUAGGAACUGAUUUUAACAUCCCAGAUCAACAAUGAUAACAGAUCUCGCUCGCACUCACAUUUCGUAUCAGUAUAGUGUAAGUUUGCUUGUCAGAUUGAGUCUGAAAAUGCAAUAAUGUGGUACUAUCUAGACCGAAUCCUUUAGGGGUGUUUCAAGGAUGUCUUAAAUCAUAUUUAAUUGUAUUAAGUGUAGUUCACAUCUAGGCUCAUCUAAAUCUUAAGUGCAGACUUUACAGAUUAGUGUUGCUAAAUUUGCUUGCUGGUUUUGGAAUGGCCAAAUGGCCUAAGUGCUAGUAGAUAAGGUGCCGAGUGAGGUACAUAUUUAAAUAGAUAGCCUGAUUUUUAAACGCCCUAUUGGGACCGAAUGAAUUGUGUAUGAGUUGUGUGUGAUGUAUGACUUUAUGCUAUAAUUGGUUGACCGUAUAUUAGUAUGUCAAAUCUCUGAUUGCUAAGUCCUGAUGAAAUUGUAUGUACUGUAUACAUGUAUAACAUGUUGAAUUUUGAAACAUUGAUUGAUAUGCAUGUAAUAUGCCAUGAAUAACAUUGAGCAUGUAUGUAUUUAAAUUACAUACCAUAUGUGAAAAUGACUGUAUAGAGAGCAUGUAUGCGUGCCACCAUUACUGUAAAAUGAAAAGUAUGCAAGGCAUACAUUGGUUCUGUUUACUGAAAUGCAUGUUGUAGUGUUAAAACUGUAAUACUAAGCAUGAUAUGCUCAUUGAUUGUAUGAAAUAUUGCAUCUGUAUGAUAAGUGGUGUGUCCCUACUUCGAAUGUCCACAUGGUUUGAGCCAUGUCACACGGCCUAGCCACACGGUUGUGUGACCUCUGCUUUCUCAAUUUUUCAGGUUUUUUCUAAAGUUUUUUUUAUUUAUUCAAAAUUAUCCCUGAUCAUUUUUAAAUUGUUUUUAAGGUCCCGAAAGCUCGAUUUAAGUCCCAAAUGUGUAUGUUUUCUAUAAUUGGAAUGAGUUUUUGAAAAUUUAUACUUAAGUUGAAUUAUUAUUUUGUUUUGAAGUUUAAGGUUAUGCUUUGCACAGUAAUGCUCCGUAACCCUAAUCCGGUGAAAGAGACGAGUUAGGGGUGUUACAAUAACUUACAAAUAUAAGCUCAAUGUUGAUAGAGAUUAAAUUUCUGGUUGAAUUUUUUGUAAUGAUUUACAAGUAGAGGCUGAAUCUAACAGAGAUUAAGUAUAGCCUGAAUGUUGACAGGCUAGAUUUUGUUGAGAUGUUCAUUACCUAGUUAGCGACAUGUUUGUGCAUUAAAUGCAUAUUUGUGUACUUACGCAUAUAUACAUAUAUACACAUUAUUUCCUACUUUGAAUGUUGACAGAGAUUAUCGAAGAUUGGAGCAUUAUCACAUGCCCAUAUGAAAUUUGUUCAUACUACAGGGCCAAUAACUUUUGCUGAACGAAACUGGAUAUGUGUAAGUUUUUUUACUUCUUAAUCAAUAAUUCUCUAUUUCUUUACGAUAAACUUAUAUUUAUACAUUAUUGUUUUGGUAGUGAUUUUCUAGGAGGAAGAAAAGCAUAGAAAAGUUUCUUGACUUAAACAUUUUCAUUAUCAACACUACAAGGGUGAUGGCACAUUCUUAAAUGAGCAUGCCAAGAAACUAUGUAUGUAUAAGUGACCUAGACACAUUGCAUUGUGUGAAUUAUGCUACUUGUUUAUGACCAUAUGAUAAUUUGAUAUAAUAUGUUUGUUUAUACUACUUGAUAGCAAGAGGUAUUGACUGAACUAAAGAAAAUUGUUUCAAAAAUAGAGGAACCCAUGACAUAGGAGGAGAGGAUAACCCUUGAAAAUAAAGUUUAUGAAAUUGUGAUAGGUCCUUACUUGCAUGGAAGGACGAGCAGAUAUGGCAUUGGCAUAACUUCAAUGAUUUUGCAAAACUCACAAAAUACAAAAACAACGGGGACAACAUCAAAGGACCAAGUGAUUAAUGAAUUGCAGGAAAAGCAUGUAAAGGAUUAGUUGUAGUACGAGCUGAGAAUGAUGAGUUAAAACGCAAAUAUGAAGAUAUGGAGACUAAAAAUGACAAUAUAUAUGUUGAUCUUCAAGAAAAACUUUGAGCUCGAGACACGAAAAUUAAUUCAAUAUUUGAUUCUAUACAACAAAUUAAUGGAAGUACUAUUUUAUAUAAUUUUACAUAUUAAUUCAUGUGGUUUAUAACAUUCAAUGUGAUUACUAUUAUUUGAUCACAAUUUUCUCUCAUCUGAUAAUCCUUUGAUGCAAUGCUUGGAUGACAUUGGAAAAAACCGUGGGGAUAAGAUGUGACACUUGACGACUACUAUAGGUUGGUGAAGACAACAUGGGCUUCCUAGUGCUUUUGGAUAUGCUUGAGUUGGAAUAUAGCUAAAAAAAAAUAAUCACCUAUUUUCUUUUUGUUCCUUUUUGUUGCUAUAGUUGACAUUUUGUGGACAUGUAAUGUUAGAUUUUGGUGCUCGACUUGUAAACAAGCUACAUUUGGAAACUUGAUAUGUCAA